CGUGCCUAAUACAUGCAAGUUGAACGCUUGAUUUCACCGAAGCUUGCUUCACCGAAAAUCAAGAGUAGCGAACGGGUGAGUAACGCGUGGGUAACCUACCUAUCAGCGGGGGAUAACUAUUGGAAACGAUAGCUAAUACCGCAUAACAAUGUUGGAUGCAUAUUCGACAUUUGAAAGUACCAACUGGUACACUGAGAGAUGGACCCGCGUUGUAUUAGCUAGUUGGUAGUGUAAUGGACUACCAAGGCGAUGAUACAUAGCCGACCUGAGAGGGUGAUCGGCCACAUUGGGACUGAGACACGGCCCAAACUCCUACGGGAGGCAGCAGUAGGGAAUCUUCGGCAAUGGACGAAAGUCUGACCGAGCAACGCCGCGUGAGUGAAGAAGGUUUUCGGAUCGUAAAACUCUGUUGUUAGAGAAGAACGUUGCAUAGAGUGGAAAAUUAUGCAAGUGACGGUAUCUAACCAGAAAGGGACGGCUAACUACGUG
rnacentral:rRNA from 1 species